GAUUGUUCAUCUUCUUGUUCUGGACGCUGCUACAAGGUAGCCGAAGGUGCGAGUCCACUUUGUAAAAGAAAUGGGACGUGUUCAGACGGGUGUAACUAUGGAUUUUGUUUACCAAACAAAGCCUGCAGCACACGUUGCAGUAAUUGUGUCGAUGAUGAUUGUGACUCUGAUACUUGUAAGUGUCGCAAAGGUCGUAAACCUGAUUUUGAAUCUUGUGGUGAAACGCCCAAAGUUCCAUCAACUAACUUUGAGAAUUGUAGAAAACAAACAUGCAGGGGAGGUGUGUGCAUAGACUGUAAAGAUGGGUACUUCGGAGAGUACUGUCUGAAGAAAUGUACCAACUGUGAUAUAUGCUAUCAACUUGACGGUGAAUGUAUACCACAAUACAAAUACGGCUUUAAUGUGUGUGUCGGAUGCACAAUAGCUACAGCUGUUGGUUGCUGUGUGCUUGGAAGUCUAUUCCUUUACUACUUUUGCAAAUACCGGCACCGGCAUGACCCCCCGGGAUCGAUAAAUUGAACAUUACCUCGUCGCUUGGCAGAUUCCAUAUAUAGGUUCUUGGCCAACUUACUGCCGACCACAGAGGAUUGACCGUUUAAAUGGAAAUGCAAACUCAAAAGGGGAGAGGCACACCACAGCAAAAUUUAGCUUCAGAUCUCCCAGUUGUUUGCCAAAGACACGCACAGAAAAUACUUUAAGAACUAUUCGGAAUAUUCUAGCAUUGUUGGAUAAAUUCUCGGAUAAUGGAAUAGAAUGGAAUUCUGAGUAGGCGAGUGACACUGAAACUAUGGUAGCAGCAUCUCUACUAGAUGCCUUAUACAAACAACGCACAUUUCAAUCGUGUUUCGCAAGUAUAGUUUAUUGACAUGUACGAUACUGACAUUUAAAGAGUGAGCGAUACUGACAUUCAAAGAUUAAGUGAGUGCGUGAGUGAGUGAGUGAGAGUGAGUGAGAAAUAUUACACCCAUACUGAUGGUAUGUUAACCCACUUGCACAGAAAUAUGUUUAAAACCAGUUUUAAUAUAUCCCAGGAUGUCUCUGGGCGACAUGGCGAUGACCCUAUUUAGUCAAAUUUCCUUUUCCAACAUCAAUGUCUUUUUUCGAUUUUUAUUUUCUUGGAAUCCAAAACAUCAGCAUUUUCUUAAUUGUCGACAACUAGAUAAAUGAUCAAAAUCGGCGUUCAGGAUACCUGAUAUGAUGUCACGUAAUAUUUGGUUAAUUCGACCAGCUAAAACUUUCCAUGAUAAGAGACUUGUUUCCAAGACACAUUAUUGUGAUUGUUGACGUGACACAGUAUUACACAAAUAACUUUAAUCUUAUGAAUGGAUUCCGAUAUUAAUUCAUGUAUUAAUUAAUUGCUGUUAUAACAAAUAUGGAAAGCGUAUUAGUAACGCAAUAUAAUGCAAUAGAAUCUACAUAGAUGAUGCUUAAUCUACGUGGACGAUAUCACUUUCCUCAACGUAGAUAGUACUUACAUUUAAAUAGAUUAUUAUCUGUCUCACGGUCCCUAAACCAUAUUAUCUGACUGAAGUGACUUUCGUGUUGUAUUAUAAAUUUCAAGCAAUAGCCAUUCAGAGUUAUAUUUCUUUGAAAAUAGUCCUAGACUAUUUUUAUCUACGUGUCGUUUGUGCUUAGAUAAGGCCCAGUCGUGAACAUGGCCACGAGAAGGGUACGAGUCGCCAUCCGGCUUGCCAGAUUGACACGACUGGUUAUGAAUGAGGAACUUUAUCGCCCGAAGGGAUAUAACUCUUGUUGGCUCAAGACUAUGUUUUAAGAGACUUUAAAUUUCAAAUAAUACCGCCGUUUAAAAAAUAUCUUUAGUACCAAUCUAUUUGCACUUAAUGGAUUGAAAAUAGCAUAUUCUCAAAACAGGUUUGAUGAAAAGACCAUUUGAUGAUAAUAAUAGGUGAACACUCCAAGUGAAUUGGAUUCACAUUUUGCCCUUUGUGCUUUUGAUCUGGUGCGGAUGCUGGUUUUUGCACCUGCCUCCAACAGACUGCGGUGGCUAAUACACAGUGAUUAGU